rnacentral:piRNA from 1 species
UGCGUUGAUUCAUUUCUGCCCAUGGAG